rnacentral:rRNA from 1 species
CCCUUUAGACGGGGACGAACAUUCCAAAGGGAUGCUAAUACCGGAUGUGACGCUCCUAUCGCAUGACGGGAGCGUGAAAGAUGGCCUCUACAUGUAAGCUAUCGCUAAAGGAUGGGCCUGCGUCUGAUUAGCUAGUUGGUAGUGUAACGGACAACCAAGGCGAUGAUCAGUAGCCGGUCUGAGAGGAUGAACGGCCACAUUGGGACUGAGACACGGCCCAG